GGGUUGUGAGGUUAAGCGACUAAGCGUACACGGUGGAUGCCCUGGCAGUCAGAGGCGAUGAAGGACGUGCUAAUCUGCGAUAAGCGUCGGUGAGGUGAUAUGAACCGUUAUAACCGGCGAUUUCCGAAUGGGGAAACCCAGUGUGUUUCGACACACUAUCAUUAACUGAAUCCAUAGGUUAAUGAGGCGAACCGGGGGAACUGAAACAUCUAAGUACCCCGAGGAAAAGAAAUCAACCGAGAUUCCCCCAGUAGCGGCGAGCGAACGGGGAGGAGCCCAGAGCCUGAAUCAGUGUGUGUGUUAGUGGAAGCGUCUGGAAAGGCGUGCGAUACAGGGUGACAGCCCCGUACACAAAAAUGCACAUAUUGUGAGCUCGAUGAGUAGGGCGGGACACGUGGUAUCCUGUCUGAAUAUGGGGGGACCAUCCUCCAAGGCUAAAUACUCCUGACUGACCGAUAGUGAACCAGUACCGUGAGGGAAAGGCGAAAAGAACCCCGGCGAGGGGAGUGAAAAAGAACCUGAAACCGUGUACGUACAAGCAGUGGGAGCCUCUUAAUGGGGUGACUGCGUACCUUUUGUAUAAUGGGUCAGCGACUUAUAUUCUGUAGCAAGGUUAACCGAAUAGGGGAGCCGAAGGGAAACCGAGUCUUAACUGGGCGUUAAGUUGCAGGGUAUAGACCCGAAACCCGGUGAUCUAGCCAUGGGCAGGUUGAAGGUUGGGUAACACUAACUGGAGGACCGAACCGACUAAUGUUGAAAAAUUAGCGGAUGACUUGUGGCUGGGGGUGAAAGGCCAAUCAAACCGGGAGAUAGCUGGUUCUCCCCGAAAGCUAUUUAGGUAGCGCCUCGUGAAUUCAUCUCCGGGGGUAGAGCACUGUUUCGGCAAGGGGGUCAUCCCGACUUACCAACCCGAUGCAAACUGCGAAUACCGGAGAAUGUUAUCACGGGAGACACACGGCGGGUGCUAACGUCCGUCGUGAAGAGGGAAACAACCCAGACCGCCAGCUAAGGUCCCAAAGUCAUGGUUAAGUGGGAAACGAUGUGGGAAGGCCCAGACAGCCAGGAUGUUGGCUUAGAAGCAGCCAUCAUUUAAAGAAAGCGUAAUAGCUCACUGGUCGAGUCGGCCUGCGCGGAAGAUGUAACGGGGCUAAACCAUGCACCGAAGCUGCGGCAGCGACACUAUGUGUUGUUGGGUAGGGGAGCGUUCUGUAAGCCUGUGAAGGUGGCCUGUGAGGGUUGCUGGAGGUAUCAGAAGUGCGAAUGCUGACAUAAGUAACGAUAAAGCGGGUGAAAAGCCCGCUCGCCGGAAGACCAAGGGUUCCUGUCCAACGUUAAUCGGGGCAGGGUGAGUCGACCCCUAAGGCGAGGCCGAAAGGCGUAGUCGAUGGGAAACAGGUUAAUAUUCCUGUACUUGGUGUUACUGCGAAGGGGGGACGGAGAAGGCUAUGUUGGCCGGGCGACGGUUGUCCCGGUUUAAGCGUGUAGGCUGGUUUUCCAGGCAAAUCCGGAAAACCAAGGCUGAGGCGUGAUGACGAGGCACUACGGUGCUGAAGCGACAAA
rnacentral:rRNA from 1 species